rnacentral:misc_RNA from 1 species
UGGACUUGACAUGGUGCUGCAAGCGCACGGAAACGUGUGACCUUCGAGGGUGCACCACAGAUGCUGCAUGGCUGUCGUCAGCUCGUGUCGUGAGAUGUUGGGUUAAGUCCCGCAACGAGCGCAACCCCCGUGGCGUGUUGCCAGCAUUAAGUUGGGGACUCACGCCAGACUGCCGGUGACAAACCGGAGGAAGGUGGGGAUGACGUCAGUGCUUGCCU